rnacentral:lncRNA from 1 species
UGUUUUUCACUGGGAGAUUCAGAGCGACCGCCGAAAUCCCGGAGCGAGCACUCGGAUCGCACGAAGCCACCUCUGCCAGUGAAACACGAGAAUGCUCCGUGAGAGGUGCCCCGGAAGUUGAUUAUGCAUACGUCACGCAAACCGGUUCCGGAAACAGUUUCUUUUUCCGCUCUCUUCGUUUCCUUGGCAACUUUGGCCGCCACUGCAGGGCGCGCAUUUCGACCACGCAGUUAAAGCUUUGUAGAACACUUUAACGCAGUCGCGAACAGCAGUUGUGUAGCAAGUAUGGACGAGCACGCGGAAUUGACACCGGCUGUGCGUCGGCUGUUGCUGGGCGUUUUCAGAAACAGCGGCAACGAUCUGAACGGUGCUACACAGUGUGACGCCACCGACGCUUUGUCACAUACACAGGGCGCAUUUUUAGGAAAUGAUUCUGCAGCGUCUACUGGUGCGUCACCAAGUCGGGCUUGUCAGCCAGGGACUCCUGCACGUGCUGCAGGGUGUGAGUGGC